GACGAACGCUGGCGGCGUGCUUAACACAUGCAAGUCGAACGAAGAGCGAUGGAAGCUUGCUUCUAUCAAUCUUAGUGGCGAACGGGUGAGUAACGCGUAAUCAACCUGCCCUUCAGAGGGGGACAACAGUUGGAAACGACUGCUAAUACCGCAUACGAUCUAAUCUCGGCAUCGAGGAUAGAUGAAAGGUGGCCUCUACAUGUAAGCUAUCACUGAAGGAGGGGAUUGCGUCUGAUUAGCUAGUUGGAGGGGUAACGGCCCACCAAGGCGAUGAUCAGUAGCCGGUCUGAGAGGAUGAACGGCCACAUUGGGACUGAGACACGGCCCAGACUCCUACGGGAGGCAGCAGUGGGGAAUCUUCCGCAAUGGACGAAAGUCUGACGGAGCAACGCCGCGUGAGUGAAGACGGCCUUCGGGUUGUAAAGCUCUGUUAAUCGGGACGAAAGGCCUUCUUGCGAAUAGUGAGAAGGAUUGACGGUACCGGAAUAGAAAGCCACGGCUAACUACGUG
rnacentral:rRNA from 1 species